rnacentral:rRNA from 1 species
AACGAACGCUGGCGGCAGGCCUAACACAUGCAAGUCGAACGCCGUAGCAAUACGGAGUGGCAGACGGGUGAGUAACGCGUGGGAACCUUCCCUAUGGUUCGGAAUAGCUCAGGGAAACCUGGGGUAAUACCGGAUAAGCCCUUCGGGGGAAAGAUUUAUCGCCAUUGGAUGGGCCCGCGUCGGAUUAGCUAGUUGGUGAGUAACGGCUCACCAAGGCGACGAUCCGUAGCUGGUCUGAGAGGAUGAUCAGCCACACUGGGACUGAGACACGGCCCAGACUCCUACGGGAGGCAGCAGUGGGGAAUAUUGGACAAUGGGCGAAAGCCUGAUCCAGCCAUGCCGCGUGAGUGACGAAGGCCUUAGGGUUGUAAAGCUCUUUUGGCGGGGAAGAUAAUGACGGUACCCGCAGAAUAAGCUCCGGCUAACUUCGUGCCAGCCGCCGCCGUAAUAC